rnacentral:rRNA from 1 species
CGGAGCCUACGGGGGGCAGCAGUGGGGGAUAUUGGACAAUGGGGGAAACCCUGAUCCAGCGAUGCCGCGUGAGGGAAGAAGGUUUUCGGAUUGUAAACCUCUGUGGAGGGGGACGAUAAUGACGGUACCCCUUUAGGAAGCCACGGCUAACUACGUGCCAGCAGCCGCGGUAAUACGUAGGUGGCGAGCGUUGUCCGGAAUUACUGGGUGUAAAGGGAGUGUAGGCGGGGAAGCAAGUCAGAAGGGAAAACUAUGGGCUUAACCCAAAGCCUGCUUUUGAAACUGUUUUUUUU